UGUAGAGGUUGGGUGAGAACGGGACGUUUUGCUUCAUUAUCAAGAAGUUGACAGGGAUCAGUCGAGUGAGCAUCUCCGACACGGCAAUAACUCCAUAUUUCGUCGUAAUAACAGUUCGCAAUCAUGGGUAAAUGUUCAUUUUUAUUUCGAGUUGUAAAUCUAUUCCAUCUUGUUAUUAGUUUUUGGUACGACUAGUUACCUUCGAAAAAUAAUUUCCGAUUGUUUUUAAUGCACUGUUAAUUAUGGCAUUGUGUUGCUGUUGGGUGUUGUACCGUUGAUGUCGACCACGAGAGAAAAUCUUUCAAAAGGAAAGAGAAAAGGCAACAUAAGUCAAUCGAGUGAGCAUCUCCGACCUGGCAACAACUGCAUUCUUCGUCGUAUUACUAGGUCGCAAUCACGGUUAACUAUGCCGUCAUGCUGCUAUUGGUUGUUGUAUCGUCGAUGGCUGGGUCGACUACUGGUGUACCGACGUUUCCUGGAUAAGGCGGAUACCAAACCGCAACGCCACCACCUUACUACACAACAACAUACGCAACGACCAGAUACUACACCGAGGUUGCACUGUUGGAUUUACAGUUAAAUCACCAAGGAUCCAAAUUAUUACAUCACAACUUGUGCUGCUCCUCGAGCUACACUACCAAAGCGCUACAGUACUACACCGAGGCACCUACUGAGACUACGCAACUACGUAUGCUGCCCCAACCUACGACACUGAGGCUCCAGCUUAUUACAUCACCAAAGCUAACGAAUUCUACACUGGAGCGCCAAAGUACGACAGAAAUUGGUCAAGUGAGCUUCUCCGACACCCAACACGGCAACCCCGAAGUUUCGAAUAAACUUCGUUUCAAACAGUGGAACGGCAAAAAGUGAAGGUGUUACACGAAAAUCUUUUCCAAUCCCUGAGCGGUUCCCUUAAAGAUGCCCAAGACCAAGAACACGUAGCGCUGUUCCGCAAUAUCGAUGGCGGUAACAUAGGUCGAGUUCUCCGUUCUCCUAAAUAUUUGAGCCAAUGAACAACCGAGAAGGUGAAAGCGGAAAGUGUUAAUGUUUUGCUCAAAGCUAAUGUGGAGGGUGUAAUUUUGGAAGACUACAAGGUUGCAUUGUCCUUAAACAAUGGUCAAAAGAUUUAAACUGACCAUGUCGUCGCUGCUGUCGGUUGGGACGUAAACACGGAUUUGGCUGUUGCUUUUGGUUUGGAAAGAGAGGAGAGGAGAUUUUGGUGGUUAUCGAGUGAAUACCGAACUUGAAGCACAAUCGAACGUUUGUUUGACUGGAGAUGUUACGUUCUUUUGUGAUAUCAAAUUGGGUCGCUGUUGUAUGGAACAUGUUCACCAUGCUGUUGUAUCUGGGCGAUUGGCUGGAGAGAACAAUACUGGCAAAGAAACAUGGAUGAAAAACUGCAGUGCACUGUUAUCAAGUGCAUUCUUCGUCGGAUUAUCAGUACGCAAUCGGUUGAUGUGAUGUCGUGAUGUCGCCGUUUGCCGUAUCGUUGAAGGCUGGGUCGAUCACUGGUGUACCGAUGUCUCCUGGGUAUGGCGGAUACCGAAGCACCACGCCGCCGCCUUGCUACACAACGACAACAUUCGCAAGAACCGGUUACUACACUGAGGCACACUAUUACUACACCACCAAGGCUCCAGAGUAUUACACCGAAGCUGAUGCUGCCCCGAGUUACAACAUCAAACGUACUACACCGAAGCUCCCAAGUACUAAAACCACCAAGUCACCAGAGUAUUACACGUAUGUUGCCCCAGCUUGCUGCAUCGAGGCUCCCAAGUAUUACCUAGUUCCUAGCUACUACACCGAGGCUCCAACUUAUUACACCACCAAAGCGGCUGAAUACUACACCGAGCCGCCCAAGUACUACACCAACAAUGCUCCCAGAGUAUUACACCACAACUUGUGCUUCCCUGAGCCUCUACACCGAAGCCCCGAAGUAUUACUCUGCCCUAAGCUACACAACUACAACUGAGGCGGCCAAGUACUACGCAGCCCCAACUUACUACACAGCGGCUGCUCCUUCGUACUACGUUGAAUCGGAAUACUACACCUAGGCUUCAGUUUACUACACCACAACUUAUGCUACACCGAGGCCUCUAUGUACUACACUACCAAGGCACCUGAGUAUUAUAACACUACCUACGCUGCUCCGACCAACUACACCGAAGCUCCGAAGUAUAGUCACUGGGAAUUGUUGAUCUUUAAUAGGGAAAUGUUUUUUUUUUUUAACCUGGGUUAUCAUUGUGUACGACUUCUCUUGCCACCUAAAAGCCUUGAGACAUUGCGACGUUUUCUUA